ACGAACGCUGGCGGCGCGCCUUACGCAUGCAAGUCGAACGGUCCUUCGGGACAGUGGCGGACGGCUGAGUAACGCGUAGGUAACCUGCCCCGUGGUGGGGGAUAACUCGCCGAAAGGCGGGCUAAUACCGCAUGAGUUUUCAGGGUGAAAUUCCCUGUUUGGAAAGCAGUAAUGCGCCACGGGAGGGGCCUGCGUCCUAUCAGGUUGUUGGUGGGGUAAAAGCCUACCAAGCCGAUGACGGGUAGCUGGUCUGAGAGGACGACCAGCCAGAAGGGGACUGAGACACGGCCCCUACUCCUACGGGAGGCAGCAGCGAGGAAUCUUGGUCAAUGGGCGAAAGCCUGAACCAGCGACGCCGCGUGAAGGAAGAAGGCCUUCGGGUCGUAAACUUCUUUUGUGGGGGAAGAAAUUCUGACGGUACCCCACGAAUAAGCCACGGCUAACUACGU
rnacentral:rRNA from 1 species